CAGAGGGUUGGCUAUUUGACACAGAGUAGUCAAGGAAGGCUUCCUUAAAUAGGGAAUGGUUAAGCAAAGAAUUCAAUGAUGUAAAGGAAUGAGUCAUGCUGAGAUCACAAGGAAGAAUCCCAAGUAGAAAGGACAGCAUAUGUAAAAUUUCUGAGGCAGGAAUAAGCUUGGUGCAACAGAGGAACAGCAAAUGUGCCAGUGAGGCUAGAGGGGUAGGAACAAAGGAAUGACAGCAGAAGAUGAGGACACAGGAGACAGAAAGGCAGGGCCAGAUGUCAUGGACCUUGAAAGCCAUGUUCUUGAUUGGUGACUUUGAUGAAGCAUACGGACAUAUGGAGAGGACAAUGUGGCAAGGGACCAAGAGUGACUUCUGGUCAACAGUCACUAAGGAACUGAGACUCUCAGUUCAACAGUUCAGAAGGAACUGAAACUUCCAAUUAUUACAGGAGCACGAAACCUGAUGCUUCCUCCUUUGAACCUUCACAUGAAGACCCCAGCCAUGGCAGUUUUGAGAGAAACAGAGAGAGAGAGAUGGAAAGUUAGAGAGAGGGGACAGAGGAUCUGAAGAGAGCUCUGAGAUGACAGUGGAGAGCGCGCCAGAUGCAGGGCUCAAACUCAAGGACCUUGAGACCAUGACCAGAGAGGAAGCUGGAUGCUCAACCCACUGAGCCACCCAGGCCUUUGGAAACAGGAAACUUUGGAAGACUUCCUACUAAGGACAAUGAAGUUUGACGUUCAGGCACAAAAAAGAGCUAAAGAAUUAUUCAAUAACUGCCCAGAAAAAGAAGUCAAUUUUACAAGGAGAGCCUAUAAAUAAGCUUCUUAAGGGCAACAACCACUUCUAUUCAUCUUUGAAUUCUUCACGCUGCAGUUUAAUUGGAGAAGUGUUUUAUUAUUGUAAAAGCCACUUGAUUACAACACAGCAUUUGCCGCAAACAAACAGGCAAUUAAAAAAAUAUAUUGCAAAACGAGGUGAUUGCUUAUCAACAUCUAAACUUCCCCCUCUGCAUUUUCCCUUCCAUUAUUCUCUUAGUUCCUUGCAAACACCUUUAAAAGUUCUUCUUUUACUAACAUGAUAGAUUUACAACCACAGGAUCUCAGGAUUAGAAGGGACCUUCAAGAUCGGAUAUUCCAACAUCAUCUGGAAUGAUCCAGCCAAAACCCGAAAUCCUCCAACAGUGGGGAAUUCAUUACCUUUCAAAGCCGUUCAUCCUUGCAACUUUAGCAAAGUGUAAUUCCUCUGAUACCAGCAACACAGCAUACCAAGAAGUACCGAGGAUACAAAAUCGAAGACUGGAACCUUUUGUGUGAAGUCACAACAGUAGGGCUGAGUGGUCCCACAACAAGAUGGACACACAACAAGAUGGACAAGCCCCCUUCCCUGAGGACAGAAUGGGUGUCCUUGCGCUCUGACAUUCCCACCUUUCUCCAUGUGACCAUGAGUGACAGGAACCACACUCCUGCUCUGUAUUUAGUACCAAUGAUACCAAUGGAAUGCUUUGACCCUAACAGGUACUGAAAUAACACCGAUCCACUAUUAUCUACUUCAAGAAUCACAAAGACUGACUCAAGAACAGUCCUUCAAGUCAUAACGCCCUAGUACCUAUUCAUUCCCAUGAGACACAAUUCUAAAACUUGAGAGCACAUCAGAAUCACCCAGAGGACCUAUUAAAACAAAGGCAGGCCCACGCCCCCAAGCUUCUGAUUCAGUAGGUCUGUGGUCAGGCCUAAGAACUGGCAUUUUUAACAAGUUCCCAGGUGAUGUUCAUUCUGCUGAUCCAGGAACUACAUUUUGAGUUCCCGAUAGGCAUAUACGAUUUAACUGUAUUUAGAACAUCCGAAGUCAGAAAUUAACAAAGAAUGAAGGGAAGCAGAGAAGUCUUUCAAUCAGGCUCCAAAUACAAUUUUUUUGGAAGAGUCUUGAAACAUUAAUGUCUUAAAUAUUAAAGUGGUAGUGAUGACAACGUGUUGGAUGAGCCAAAGUUUGGCUGUAUUUUCCACUGGUAAUAUCUGCCAACUAUUGUUCACUGAAAGCCUUUUACAGACAUGUAGAGAACUAAUACGAGUUAUUAAUUUAAAUGUUUACCUUCUACUACUUAAUAUCUUUGACUGUCUUCAGCCCUGGGAUCAUGCAGUCUUGGUCCUUCACCAGGAACAAGCCUGGAAGGCUCCUCAGAAGAAGUGUGCCUGUCAUGCCAGCCCUGGGCCAGGUGCUGGCCAUUACCUUCAACUUUUUGAAGUGUCAUUCUCACCGAGGUGCUGCAAAUUUCUGUGGCAUCUGAGGCUCCUCCCAUCCACCCAUCGUCUUUCCACUUCUGCCUCCUUAUUCCACAGAUCACAUGGUUAAGAGAACAUUACUGAACAAUUCAUGGUCCUUCAAACAAUUUCCUGGGGGUGCUUCCCAAAUGGUCAGAAGUAUAAUGAUCUCUCUCUUCAAUGGUCUCAUUUGCUCCUACAUUUCACUUCACAUGUUAUGAAUACAACUUCAAGAAGAAGAUUACUUUAACAUCCCCAGUCUUCCAUGAUUUCCUCCGAUUUUCUUUGGCAAUGCACUUCCUCAAACAGAACUUCUAGGCAAAAGACACUGCUGCAUAUUUUAUCAUGAAAUCGAAUUCUUCAUUAUUUAGUAAUGGUCACAUGGGGUGUUGAAAUAAAUGAAAACCAAAUUAAUCACACUGUAUGUUCUUACACAGGACUUUGAAAAACAGGGUGAAAUCCAUCUCCCAAGAAUCACGGAGUUUCACCAUACUGAAAAAUGAGACGAGAGCUUGAAUUAAAAAAAAAAAAAUCUCCCCCUCUAUUGCAGAUGAUAAUGAAAAGUAAGACGAAAGCAAUGAAAUCAGAGUGAGUGGUGGAUUGAAACUGUUCAUCAUAAAAUAUUUGGGUGAAAUAAUAGAAGGCUCCCUCAGUCCUACUACAGACAGGGUCUGGGAUUAAAACAAAAAAGUCAGGACACAAUGGAAAAGGAAAGUGCGCAAGUUAAUUAGCCAGCAGGAUACUUUUCAUUUGGGGGUAGACUGUGGUGCUGUAAGAAACCAUGGGUCUCCAGAAAGAUCCCUUCUAAUGGAGCCCAACAAUUAGAAUCACGAGCUGCCUUUGUACCCGGCUACACAACCUCAUGCCUUUAAAAUAGAUCUGUCACUAAUGACUGAAGGCUGCAUGCAAUUUACCUCACUUCACAACCAUCUGCUGAGUAUUCUUAGUUCUGACUCUGGUUGAAAGGGACCUGUAACGAGGUUUCUGGGUAGACCCCCUCUCUUUAAAAGUCCGUUAGACUCUAAUGUUUAGAGAAAUGCUUCUGAUCCACAGAAACCAGAUUGUGUUCCCCAGCAGAUGCUGCGUGCUUUUCAGGGUCCGGUGGCACCAAAUGCUCCACGAGGGGUCUCUACUCCAGGGGAUGGGAAGAUGGGCAAGCAGUCUUGAGGAGCUGCAAGGAUAAAAUGGUGCACAUUUCAUUUGUCUUGGGAUUUGUAAAAUCUCAUCUGGCUCUCAUCUCUGGAAUGGCAGCACACAAAGACAUUUAUCACCCCUUCUGGAGUCAAAUACUUACGCUACUUGGGAAGGAAACGUAGGGGAUUGGAAGGGACCUGAAGAGAUCAUCAAACCCUGCCUUACAGCAAGAAGAAAGGAAACGAAACAAAACGAAACAAAACGAAACAAAACAAAACGUAGUCUCCAAAAGUUUAUCUUUUCAGAUCAAUUUCUCUCCCAGAAAACCUGAGAAGUCAAAUGACUAAAAGUUAACAUUCUGUGCCCCUCUGGCGUGUCUUUACACACCCUGCCAAAGUAGAAAUGGAGUUAUAGGCAGAUUUAAAUCCGGUCCUUAAGUCUAAUCUCGUUUACGCGCUCAGGGGCACAUUUGAGGCAAUAUCAUAACUGAUUUUCAAAACUGAUUUUGGUUUUACUCUUUUUUUCAAGUGUGAGAAAAAAUAUAAUCCAAUAGUUGGCAGGGGACAUCAUAGACUCUUACAUGUUAUUAUUGGCAAGAAUGGAAACUCAGAAAUUUAAAAGAGGAGGUUUUUUUUUCUUUGCCAAUUAUGUUCAUCUGACAAAAAUGUGUUCUAUAUGUUUUUAAUAAAAAAGUGAUUU